rnacentral:lncRNA from 1 species
AAAUAAUUACAUUUUAAUCUCAUAAUUAAAAUUGUUACAUAGAAAUUCAUAGUAAAUUGAAAUACAAUUAUACCUUUGUUAAAAAUAAUGAUUACAGUUGAUUUUCAUUAUGAAGACAGUUUGAAGAUGCUAUUUAACAACAAAAAACUUACCAUUUGGGACAACCUUUGACAAGACAAUUUUAAACAAUCAUCUUAUUUUCUUAAAUACAACAAUUUCAGCUGAUGAGAAUAUCUUGUUUCAUCUUAAAUUCUACAAUUCUAUUGAAAAUGUCUUCCAUCAGUACUCAACAAAUUACAUAUUUAAAUUAAAAACAGAGAACACAUUCUUUUUUGGCUUGUUGUUUAUGGUUUAAAAUGAGAAAAGAUGGCUGUAAAAAUGUAACUUUUGAAAACAUAUAAAGAUACAAAUAUAGUAAAAUGCUUAGCUGAGCACAUCCUGAUAUGACAACAGAAUGAACCCUGAAAAGUUUGGGCAAGUUUGGACACAAUAUUCAAGCUUGAUACUGUCUAAAUUUGGAUUGUGCUCAAACUUUUGAUACAAUGUAGGUUUUUGGCACAAAAUAAAUGUGGUCAAAGAUAUUUCUGUGCAAUACAAUGCUAAUAUAGAUUUCUUCUAUAAACUUUUCAAAAAUUUCAAUAUGAAAAAAUGAAAAAAAAAACAUAUGAACAACCCCCCAAAAAAACGUCUUGCAAAAUUUCAUAGUCAUCCAUACAAAUUUAACAAUUUGUUUUUUUCAAUGAAAUUAAAUGUGUCUUCAGACUACAAGCUGAAGACUACGCUGUUUAAUACAACAUCAUAGCAUUAUAUGCAUAACAAUAAUACUGGCCAUAACUUACAUUAAUAUUACAAUCUGAUUGGAGUAUUAAUUUAUGAGGUAGUUGAAAACUAAUUUCUACACAUACACAAAAUGACAGAAUAGCUAAAACAUCACAAAAACAUUAAAAUAGAUUUAUCUACAUUUAUACACUUUAAGACAUGAUCAAAUCAGUUAUAAAAUUAUUUCCAGCUACUUGUACAAUCUUACAAGUUGAGUGUUCUUCCUCCAAUAUUUUCUAUAUAUACAAUGGUCCCAAAAAUGAUUUAAACAUAUUUUUAUUCAGUUUUGAAUACAAUGCUUUAUAAAAUAUUUUCACUCACUUUUGUAUUAA